GAAAUGCGAUAAUUAAUGUGAAUUGCAGAAUUCAGUGAAUCAUCGAGUCUUUGAACGCACAUUGCGCCCCCUGGUAUUCCGGGGGCCAUGCCUGUCCGAGCGUCAUUGCUGCCCUCAAGCACGGCUUGUGUGUUGGGCUUCCGUCCCUGGCAACGGGGACGGGCCCAAAAGGCAGUGGCGGCACCAUGUCUGGUCCUCGAGCGUAUGGGGCUUUGUCACCCGCUCCCGUAGGUCCAGCUGGCAGCUAGCCUCGCAACCAAUCUUUUUAACCAGGUUGACCUCGGAUCAGGUAGGGAUACCCGCUGAACUUAAGC
rnacentral:misc_RNA from 1 species